UCUUCCUACGGGAGGCAGCAGUGGGGAAUAUUGCACAAUGGGGGGAACCCUGAUGCAGCGACGCCGCGUGGGUGAAGGAGUACUUCGGUACGUAAAGCCCUAUCAGCAGGAAAGAAAAUGACGGUACCUGACUAAGAAGCCCCGGCUAACUACGUGCCAGCAGCCGCGGUAAUACGUAGGGGGCAAGCGUUAUCCGGAUUUACUGGGUGUAAAGGGAGCGUAGACGGCAGCGCAAGUCCGUAGUGA
rnacentral:rRNA from 1 species